UCUCGAAAGCCGCGGGCAGGGGUCACUGCCUUCUCCCUCCCCCCACGCCCUCAGCUCCGCUGCUGCCCUCCCAUCGGCGUGUGUGUCCCCCAACUCCCCGUGCCACGCAAGCCGGCGGUGAGGAAAUACAGAUCCAAAAGCAGGACAUGGAUAAAUGAGAGAAGAUAAGGCGUUGCUCCUGCAAGCAGAACAUCCUGUCUUUGAGACGGACUUUCCUAAUGCCCUACAUCACUGCCAUUGAUGAUGUAUUAGAUGUAGUAGAUGUAUUAAUGUAUUAGAACCUCAUCCUCUACGAGCUUCAUCUGCUGAGAUACCAUGUACUGCAGCAUUUGUACACUCUCCCAAAGAGUUUACAUGCAGGGUAUUCAUAAGAUUUAACUCCUAACAGCUCCAUGAGGCCCUGUCGACACUAGGGAUAUUCAUUAAGGAUUUCCCACUGCUACAAGAACUUCUCCAGCUCCACCAGUAUGGCACAGCAGAGAACUCUCACUCAUACUUUUAAUCCUUUAGGCUAUUCCUAUGUCUUCCAACCUCACCAGUGUUGGUGGAGCAGAGCCAAUGGUGAGAGUUUUUUUAGAAAGUUUCCUUUACAGGGACAAAAUUUUCACCCCCUUUGUCAAGUCUGUGAUGCCCUUACUUUGAAUAAUCCCCUUGUCUCUUAAGCUGCUCUCUUAAAGGUUCCUCUGUCCCCUUCACAUUCAUCAACACCACACAUGUCUACCACAGAUUGUAACUGCAUCUACUCCUGCCUUUCAGCUGCUAUCUUUUCAGGAAUGGAAAUCCUUGUCACAACCCAGCACAAAUGAUUCAAAAUUACUGUCAUUAUGAUGACAACAGCCAUUCUUGGAAAAUGGUUACAUGAAUAACUGGAAUCCCCCAAAAUAAACAAAUUUGGCUUCAUUAACAGGAAUGGCAAACUCAGAGUGCAAACCCACUUCACCAAGCAGAGGCAUUUAAUCAAAUUUUUUUUUUCUAUUCGGCAGAUAAAGCAGAUAUAUGACUGCUGCUAGUAGAUGUAAUAGUUUCUAUACUUGUUGUCCCAUAGCUCCUUAAUUAAAUUACAAUUGUCCUGUUGGAAAACAUGUCUGUGAACAAUUCCAGGUAGAAAAUACAGGAAAAUAUUCCUAGCAAAAUAAAAAUAAAUUAGUAACACAAUGUUGCAUGGUAGAUAGAACAAAAAUAAAUUGGAUUGAAAUAGGGAAGAUUCAGUUUUGAUAUAAGGUAAACCUCACUGUGAAGGACUGGAAUAUAUUGUCUGGGGAAGGAGUGGAGUUUCCCAUACUAGAUACCCUUGUAACAGAAUUUAAACAAACGUUGAUAGGAAUUAUACAGACACAAUUUGUCCCAGCAUGAUUCACACCCAUGACUGAGGAUCUGUUGAGUACCCUUUUACCCCUGUUUUUCUAUUAUUGUACUUUGCUUUAAAUUUCUAAAGAAUGAAAUAAACUCCUGCUUUCAUUUACAUUCA